rnacentral:rRNA from 1 species
UGGGGAAUCUUGCACAAUGGGGGCAACCCUGAUGCAGCGACGCCGCGUGAGCGAUGAAGCCCUUCGGGGUGUAAAGCUCUUUCGGCAGGGACGAUAAUGACGGUACCUGAAGAAGAAGCUGCGGCUAACUACGUGCCAGCAGCCGCGGUAAUACGUAGGCAGCGAGCGUUGUUCGGAGUUACUGGGCGUAAAGAGUGCGUAGGCGGUGGCCCAAGUCUGGUGUGAAAUCUCCCGGCUUAACUGGGAGGGUGCGCCGGAAACUGGGUGACUUGAGUACUGGAGAGGCAAGCGGAAUUCCUGGUGUAGCGGUGAAAUGCGUAGAUAUCAGGAGGAACACCCGUGGUGUAGACGGCUUGCUGGACGGUCACUGACGCUGAGGCACGAAAGCGUGGGGAGCAAA